UACAGAGGGUGCUAGCGUUAAUCGGAUUUACUGGGCGUAAAGGGCGCGUAGGCGGCAAUUCAAGUCAUCUGUGAAAUCUCCGGGCUUAACCCGGAACGGUCAGGUGAUACUGUUUUGCUAGAGUGCGGAAGGGGCAAUCGGAAUUCUCGGUGUAGCGGUGAAAUGCGUAGAUAUCGAGAGGAACACCAAAGGUGAAGACGGGUUGCUGGGCCGACACUGACGCUGACAGCGCGAAAGCCAGGGGAGCAAACGGG
rnacentral:rRNA from 1 species